rnacentral:rRNA from 1 species
UACGGGGGGGGCAAGCGUUGUUCGGAAUUACUGGGCGUAAAGGGCUCGUAGGCGGCCAACUAAGUCAGACGUGAAAUCCCUCGGCUUAACCGGGGAACUGCGUCUGAUACUGGAUGGCUUGAGUGUGGGAGAGGGAUGCGGAAUUCCAGGUGUAGCGGUGAAAUGCGUAGAUAUCUGGAGGAACACCGGUGGCGAAGGCGGCAUCCUGGACCACGACUGACGCUGAGUGAGCGAAAGCCAGGGGAGCAAACAGG